rnacentral:pre_miRNA from 1 species
GAAAUACUCCCUCCGUCCGGAAAUACUUGUCAUCAAAAUGAAUAAAAGGGGAUGUAUCUAGACAUAUUUUAGUUCUAGAUACAUAUCUUUUUAUCCAUUUUGAUGACAAGUAUUUUUGGACGGAGGGAGUAAUAG